UUAAGCGACUAAGCGUACACGGUGGAUGCCCUGGCAGUCAGAGGCGAUGAAGGACGUGCUAAUCUGCGAAAAGCGUCGGUAAGGUGAUAUGAACCGUUACAGCCGGCGAUGUCCGAAUGGGGAAACCCAGUGCAAUUCGUUGCACUAUCGUUAACUGAAUACAUAGGUUAACGAAGCGAACCGGGGGAACUGAAACAUCUAAGUACCCCGAGGAAAAGAAAUCAACCGAGAUUCCCCCAGUAGCGGCGAGCGAACGGGGAGCAGCCCAGAGUCUGAAUCAGCUUGUGUGUUAGUGGAACGGUCUGGAAAGUCCGACGGUACAGGGUGAUAGUCCCGUACACCAAAAUGCACAGGCUGUGAACUCGAAGAGUAGGGCGGGACACGUGGUAUCCUGUCUGAAUAUGGGGGACCAUCCUCCAAGGCUAAAUACUCCUGACUGACCGAUAGUGAACCAGUACCGUGAGGGAAAGGCGAAAAGAACCCCGGCGAGGGGAGUGAAAAAGAACCUGAAACCGUGUACGUACAAGCAGUGGGAGCACCUUCGGGUGUGACUGCGUACCUUUUGUAUAAUGGGUCAGCGACUUAUAUUCUGUAGCAAGGUUAACCGUAUAGGGGAGCCGCAGGGAAACCGAGUCUUAACUGGGCGUUAAGUUGCAGGGUAUAGACCCGAAACCCGGUGAUCUAGCCAUGGGCAGGUUGAAGGUUGGGUAACACUAACUGGAGGACCGAACCGACUAAUGUUGAAAAAUUAGCGGAUGACUUGUGGCUGGGGGUGAAAGGCCAAUCAAACCGGGAGAUAGCUGGUUCUCCCCGAAAGCUAUUUAGGUAGCGCCUCGUGAACUCAUCUUCGGGGGUAGAGCACUGUUUCGGCUAGGGGGUCAUCCCGACUUACCAACCCGAUGCAAACUACGAAUACCGAAGAAUGUUAUCACGGGAGACACACGGCGGGUGCUAACGUCCGUCGUGAAGAGGGAAACAACCCAGACCGCCAGCUAAGGUCCCAAAGUCAUGGUUAAGUGGGAAACGAUGUGGGAAGGCACAGACAGCCAGGAUGUUGGCUUAGAAGCAGCCAUCAUUUAAAGAAAGCGUAAUAGCUCACUGGUCGAGUCGGCCUGCGCGGAAGAUGUAACGGGGCUAAACCAUGCACCGAAGCUGCGGCAGCGACACUAUGUGUUGUUGGGUAGGGGAGCGUUCUGUAAGCCUGCGAAGGUGUGCUGUGAGGCAUGCUGGAGGUAUCAGAAGUGCGAAUGCUGACAUAAGUAACGAUAAAGCGGGUGAAAAGCCCGCUCGCCGGAAGACCAAGGGUUCCUGUCCAACGUUAAUCGGGGCAGGGUGAGUCGACCCCUAAGGCGAGGCCGAAAGGCGUAGUCGAUGGGAAACAGGUUAAUAUUCCUGUACUUGGUGUUACUGCGAAGGGGGGACGGAGAAGGCUAUGUUAGCCGGGCGACGGUUGUCCCGGUUUAAGCAUGUAGGCUGGUUAUCCAGGCAAAUCCGGAUAAUCAAGGCUGAGGUGUGAUGACGAGGCACUACGGUGCUGAAGUAACAAAUGCCCUGCUUCCAGGAAAAGCCUCUAAGCAUCAGGUAACAUCAAAUCGUACCCCAAACCGACACAGGUGGUCAGGUAGAGAAUACCAAGGCGCUUGAGAGAACUCGGGUGAAGGAACUAGGCAAAAUGGUGCCGUAACUUCGGGAGAAGGCACGCUGGUGUGUAGGUGAAGUCCCUGCGGAUGGAGCUGAGACCAGUCGAAGAUACCAGCUGGCUGCAACUGUUUAUUAAAAACACAGCACUGUGCAAACACGAAAGUGGACGUAUACGGUGUGACGCCUGCCCGGUGCCGGAAGGUUAAUUGAUGGGGUUAUCCGUAAGGAGAAGCUCUUGAUCGAAGCCCCGGUAAACGGCGGCCGUAACUAUAACGGUCCUAAGGUAGCGAAAUUCCUUGUCGGGUAAGUUCCGACCUGCACGAAUGGCGUAAUGAUGGCCAGGCUGUCUCCACCCGAGACUCAGUGAAAUUGAACUCGCUGUGAAGAUGCAGUGUACCCGCGGCAAGACGGAAAGACCCCGUGAACCUUUACUAUAGCUUGACACUGAACAUUGAGCCUUGAUGUGUAGGAUAGGUGGGAGGCUUUGAAGCGUGGACGCCAGUCUGCGUGGAGCCAACCUUGAAAUACCACCCUUUAAUGUUUGAUGUUCUAACGUUGGCCCCUGACCGGGGUUGCGGACAGUGUCUGGUGGGUAGUUUGACUGGGGCGGUCUCCUCCCAAAGCGUAACGGAGGAGCACGAAGGUUAGCUAAUCCUGGUCGGACAUCAGGAGGUUAGUGCAAUGGCAUAAGCUAGCUUGACUGCGAGCGUGACGGCGCGAGCAGGUGCGAAAGCAGGUCAUAGUGAUCCGGUGGUUCUGAAUGGAAGGGCCAUCGCUCAACGGAUAAAAGGUACUCCGGGGAUAACAGGCUGAUACCGCCCAAGAGUUCAUAUCGACGGCGGUGUUUGGCACCUCGAUGUCGGCUCAUCACAUCCUGGGGCUGAAGUAGGUCCCAAGGGUAUGGCUGUUCGCCAUUUAAAGUGGUACGCGAGCUGGGUUUAGAACGUCGUGAGACAGUUCGGUCCCUAUCUGCCGUGGGCGCUGGAGAAUUGAGGGGGGCUGCUCCUAGUACGAGAGGACCGGAGUGGACGCAUCACUGGUGUUCGGGUUGUCAUGCCAAUGGCACUGCCCGGUAGCUAAAUGCGGAAGAGAUAAGUGCUGAAAGCAUCUAAGCACGAAACUUGCCCCGAGAUGAGUUCUCCCUGAGACUAUAAGUCUCCUGAAGGAACGUUAAAGACGAUGACGUUGAUAGGCCGGGUGUGUAAGCGCAGCGAUGCGUUGAGCUAACCGGUACUAAUGAACCGUGAGGCUUAACCUU
rnacentral:rRNA from 1 species